GAGUUUGAUCAUGGAUCAGGAUGAACGCUAGCUACAGGCUUAACACAUGCAAGUCGAGCGGUUUGUGCUUUUGCACAUUCAGCGGCAGACGGGUGAGUAACACGUAUCUAACCUUCCCCUUACUUGGGCAUAGCCUCUGGAAACGGAGAUUAAUUUCCGAUGUGGUGUACAUUUCGCAUGUUUUGCGCACCAAAGAUUUAUCGGUAAGGGAUGGGGAUGCGCUCCAUUAGGUAGUAGGUAGGGUAAUGGCCUACCUAGCCUAUGAUGGAUAGGGGUUCUGAGAGGAAGGUCCCCCACAUUGGAACUGCGACACGGUCCAAACUCCUACGGGAGGCAGCAGUGAGGAAUAUUGGUCAAUGGCCGGAAGGCUGAACCAGCCAAGUAGCGUGCAGGAUGACUGCCUUAUGGGUUGUAAACUGCUUUUUUACGGGAAUAAUUAUGAUCACGUGUGAUUAUUUGCAUGUACCGUAAGAAUAAGGAUCGGCUAACUCCGUGCCAGCAGCCGCGGUAAUACGGAGGAUCCUAGUGUUAUCCGGAUUUAUUGGGUUUAAAGGGAGCGUAGGCGGGAGGUCAAGUCAGCUGUGAAAUGUAUCUGCUUAACGGGUACACUGCAGUUGAAACUGGUUUUCUUGAGUGCGUAAGAGGCAGGCGGAAUUCGUUGUGUAGCGGUGAAAUGCUUAGAUAUGACGAGGAACUCCCUAUUGCGAAGGCAGCUUGCUGGGUCGUUACUGACGCUGAUGCUCGAAGGUGCGGGGAUCAAACAGGAUUAGAUACCCUGGUAGUCCGCACAGUAAACUAUGGGAUACUCUC
rnacentral:rRNA from 1 species